rnacentral:sRNA from 1 species
UGAGGAUUGCGCUUGGGGGGCUGCUCUUCCCCGCUUCCAACCUUCGGUUGCCGCUGGUUCCUGCCCUGGAUGGCUGCCUGCGCCGGGAUUCCUGGCUGGACAAACAGGCCGAGAUCUCAGCAUCUGCCCCCACUAGCCUCAGAAGCUGUGAUGUAGAAUCAAAUCCCGGGAUAUUUCUCCCUCCAGGCACUCAGGCAGAAUUCAAUCUCCGAGGUAGAUUUCCUCGGAGUCUAUUUUUCCCACCCUGGCCAGCUCAGCCUGCCUCUGUCCCCCUCUACCACUGGCCCCUUUCCUCCUUGAGACCCCAGCUUUGAGGCCUCAGGAUAAUCAUUUCUCCCCACAGACAUUCCCCAGCCUCAUGCAGAGCCCUGGGCCUUCUCUUUGGACCUGGGACUCAAGCAGGCAGCAGGCUCAGGCCACCUCCUUGCUCUUGGGACACCAGAGAACCCAUCUUGGCUCAGUCUCCACCUCCAAGAUCAAGUAAAGGGGGACAGUGGGGCGUUGCCUGUAUUCAGUGGAGCC